UAAUUAAAUAAUCAGCCUAGUUUAUUUUUUACUUUACAAUAAAAGGGAUGUGUCUACAAAUACAAAAAGGUUUUAGUAAAAGUCAUUUUUUGAACCUAGUAGCCCCGAACCCGUGGUUAGUCGGAUCAUCGAUG